rnacentral:rRNA from 1 species
GGAAUAUUGGGCAAUGGGCGAAAGCCUGACCCAGCGACGCCGCGUGCGGGAUGAAGGCCUUCGGGUUGUAAACCGCUUUCAGCAGGGAAGAAGCGAAAGUGACGGUACCUGAAGAAGAAGCACCGGCUAACUAUGUGCCAGCAGCCGCGGUAAUACAUAGGGUGCAAGCGUUGUCCGGAAUUAUUGGGCGUAAAGAGCUCGUAGGUGGUUCGUUACGUCGGAUGUGAAAACCUGAGGCUCAACCUCAGGCCUGCAUUCGAUACGGGCGAACUUGAGUGUGGUAGGGGAGGCUGGAAUUCCUGGUGUAGCGGUGGAAUGCGCAGAUAUCAGGAGGAACACCAAUGGCGAAGGCAGGCCUCUGGGCCACUACUGACACUGAGGAGCGAAAGCGUGGGGAGCAAACAGGAUUAGAUACCCUGGUAGUCCACGCUGUAAACGGUGGGCACUAGUUGUGGGAACCUUCCACGGUUUCUGCGACGCAGCAAACGCAUUAAGUGCCCCGCCUGGGGAGUACGAUCGCAAGAUUAAAACUCAAAGGAAUUGACGG